GAGCGCAGGCGGAAGAUUAAGUCUGAUGUGAAAGCCCUCGGCUUAACCGAGGAACUGCAUCGGAAACUGUUUUUCUUGAGUGCAGAAGAGGAGAGUGGAACUCCAUGUGAAGCGGUGGAAUGCGUAGAUAUAUGGAAGAACACCAGUGGCGAAGGCGGCUCUCUGGUCUGCAACUGACGCUGAGGCUCGAAAGCAUGGGUAGCGAACAGGAUUAGAUACCCUGGUAGUCCAUGCCGUAAACGAUGAGUGCUAAGUGUUGGGAGGUUUCCGCCUCUCAGUGCUGCAGCUAACGCAUUAAGCACUCCGCCUGGGGAGUACGACCGCAAGGUUGAAACUCAAAGGAAUUGACGGGGGCCCGCACAAGCGGUGGAGCAUGUGGUUUAAUUCGAAGCAACGCGAAGAACCUUACCAGGUCUUGACAUCUAGUGCAAUCCGUAGAGAUACGGAGUACCCUUCGGGGACACUAAGACAGGUGGAGCAUGGCAGA
rnacentral:rRNA from 1 species